CAGCAGCCGCCGCGGUAAUACGGAGGGAGCUAGCGUUGUUCGGAAUUACUGGGCGUAAAGCGCGCGUAGGCGGUUACUCAAGUCAGAGGUGAAAGCCCGGGGCUCAACCCCGGAACUGCCUUUGAAACUAGGUGACUAGAAUCUUGGAGAGGUCAGUGGAAUUCCGAGUGUAGAGGUGAAAUUCGUAGAUAUUCGGAAGAACACCAGUGGCGAAGGCGACUGACUGGACAAGUAUUGACGCUGAGGUGCGAAAGCGUGGGGAGCAAACAGGAUUAGAUACCCCCGUAGUCCCUGUCUCUUAUAC
rnacentral:rRNA from 1 species